CACCGCUUUACCGGCACACUCUGCGCUAUUUAUAGGGAACAGAAGACACCAAUUGUCAAAAAUCCCAGAAACUGUCAUAUCUUAGUUAAUGCGGGGAGUCAGAAAACAGACCUUGCUAUUUGAAAGUCUUUUUACUUGUUCUCGUCAUUUUCCAAUAAUCUUCUAUUCUGGUGGAGCGGAGGGACACGAGAAGCAUUUGAUAAGUGUGGACAAUAGGCGUGUGGUGCUCCAGGACCGCGUUGUGUCAAUCUUGUCGGCGGUGCAGUGAGGUGAUGUGCAACGAACGACCAAACUCGUCCCGGACCCACAGCAUGUCCAAACCGAUUAGGGGGCUGGGACGACUGAAGCAAGACCCCUGCAAUUAUAUUCCUUAAUGCAGUCUUCAACCAAAAAACAUGAACUCCAAAUCAGACUAACUUAACGAAUUGUUGACUUAAGGGUAAAUAAAGUGUUCAGAAAUAAUUAGCAGUCCAUCAUUGAAACAGUGACCACGUCAAAUGAGAUGCUUCUGUGAGCAUAAAACGCAAACAUAAUCCAAUAGCUUCAGUAUUGACCAGUAACUAAACAUUUUUUUCCUGACUUUCCAACUCUUCCGAAGAAUGGCAAGAGAAAUUCGAUUUGGGUUAUAGAUCUCGUAGUCACUGGAACAGCUGUUAUUUCCCCCCUUCACCCGAUAAUCAAACACAGACACGACGACCCGCUUAGGCCUUGCAUGCAAGACCAAGGAUUAACAGUCUUAUUCAAAUCUUAACUAUGCCAGACGAAUAAAUACGAUACGAAUACUCAUGCAAUUGUAAAAUAGCUUCCAAAAAUGUGAUUAUUAAUCAGUCAGAUAGUCUAAAUUUUGACACAGUAAAUCUUAAUAUUUUGUUAAUAUUCGAGGUGAUGGAAAAUGAUUUAGCAACGAAGGCUCAGCGUGAGGGGGAAAUCAACGUGAUGAUGAUAAUGAUGACUCACUACCACGAUGCAAUUUAUUUCUGCCCAAUGAAAAUAUUCCAAUAUCCUAACAAAAAACUUAUACUAAAAAAAACUUAAACUAAUAAAGUUAUAGUGUCUUAGAUGACAUAUAACAAUCGUUAUUGAUGCCCCUAAACAUCAACAAAAACCAUAAGAACAUCUACGUCAUUAUCUCAUUAGAGACAGACAAGCAAAGAGCAGUGACAAGAACAUUUUUAUAUUAUUCCCCGCUGGGCACGAACAGAAACGAGCAGUCUUUGAGAAUGGUCGCUCUAGUUUAGAUUAAUGGUUCCCAGCGCUUAUUCUGCAGUGCGGGUGAAAGGGCCAGGAUCACUAAUGAUUAUAAUAUAAUGUGUGGUGAUAACCACUCCCUUUGAGAUAUUAUCGCGCAGUGGGCAAUGCUCGGGGGACGACUGCGGGGCUGAAAAUCAGCAGAUAGCUACUAAACACGAGCAGAUUUCUGCACUGAAGCUCCAACAGCCUGCAAGACUCCAGUGCUGUCUGCUGCUGAUAUCAACAAGGGCUGAAUUAAAGCACUAUUUCUAUUUUUAAGAAACCUCAGAUUAUAUAUACUUUUUUCUCUUGAAAAUGGCCAAAGCUACACUAUUAUAGCCUGCCAUCUGAAAUACUGACUUUAAAUGAUGAACUUGAGUUUCUUUCCUAUGUUUUACUUCCAUCUCAUUAUUGAUUACUUUUUCCACAAACCAGAGUGCUCGUGUUAGUGGAACCAGUGCAUCAUUACAUGUAGGAGCUGUCAGGAACAUAAUACGGCCAAAAAAUAAAUAAAUAAAUAAAAUAAAUAAAUAAAUAAAAUAAAAUUAAAUAAAAUACAAACCAUGAAAAUUUACCUCAUCUUUGAUUUAAAAAAAAAAUAUUUCUCAAUUUAAUAAAAAAUGAUAAGAAUUGAUAAGACAGGUUUCAGAAAUAGUAAACAAGGAAAAGGACAAAGAUCCGUUCGGCCUACACUAGGCUAUGCGUGAGUGGGUGGCGCUAUUAAUCUGAGAACGUUUAUAAAAAACUUUAAGAACUUCAUAGGAAUCCUCAGCAAUAAUUCUAGAGCUGCCAAACCAGAAAACAACUAGGCCAACUAUAUAUAUAUAUGUAUAUAUAUAUAUAUUUUUUUUUAACUAAGUAUAGUUGUAAGUAGCCUAUUUCCAAGUAACUGUAAAUAUAACUGAAAAUAUCACAAACCACAUAAGAAUACGCGUUCAAUUUGACAAAAAAAAAAAAUGUAAAAAAUGCUAAUCCAUGUAAUCCAAAUUUAAAAACAGAAAAUAUGAAAAUACCGGACACAAACCCUUCUCGUGUCAAUCGACUGCCUCGGAUCAAUAACAAAGCUGCCUGACUAACUUCUCCGAGAGUCUGGAGCGAACGCAAGAAAAGGGGGUGAUCCUAAAGGACCACGGGAGACAAGGCCUCGACAAUCCCUCCUCAUUCAUCUUCAUUGCCUUUGUGUGCACAAAAAGCAAGCCCUGCAUAAGGUAAAGCCACCAUCAAAGCCAUGGCUUUAUUUUAUAUCCUAUAGAUCAGGAGGGAGACAAAGCUUUAUUUUCGCCAGGAGAGAGAUAUUUUACCUCCGCCGUACGGUUUUAUGUUGGAGAGGUGUCAGACAGACGAAAUGAAUGGCUAAUGCAUAGGCAAAACGCACUCACCCCAGCAUGCCUCACGUCAGCAGGCGCAGUCGGGAUUUAGGGCCGGUGAGAGCAGAGCGCGCGACUGAGCACGAGCAUAUAAAUACGUGAUGUUCUCGACUGGUCCAGACACAUGUGCAUACAGUGCCAUUUUUAAACCCAUACGCGCAGCAGUAAUCGUUAAGGAGAUUUAUAAAGGGAUUCCUUGCAAUUCCCCAAAUUUCCUCACUCUUAGUCGUUACCAUACCACUACAGCAACGCUUAAAAAUAGAAAUAUAAGGUGACAAUUUAUGGUUCGGGCUUGCAAAUAAAUAACAAGCAUGCUUCAGAAUUUUGUUUAGGAUGGUCAUAUGAGGUUGUGAAUAAAUUAUAAUGCAAUGCCAAUCUUAUUUUGCACCAGCCUUGGGAUCCCCUCCAAAUUCUGCAGAAUCCAAGCAAGCGUUUUCAAUUCGUUAUAUGGGCAACAUUUUAUUUUAAUGGGACAGUUUAUUUCAGGGAGUGGCUUAUCUACAUUGGCUGUGGCUUUAUCAGUCACAAACAUUGAGCUGUAUCCACCAUUAUUUCCACCAUUGUUGUGUCCAUCCACUCAUUCUCUGUCAGGUAUGAGUCCAGGAAAAAUAUUUUACAAACUUUUUAGCAAAUGCUGACCUCAACAAGGCAAAUACAGGAUUGGCAGCCAUGCUUGGCUCAUCUCAGCUCUGAUACUGUAUAAAGCAAACUAGUGAUAAAGAGAUGUUAGAUGAUGACAUUAAGUCCUACUCAAGACUUUCAAAACCAUUCCCAUUUGAAAUGGACAAAAGUUGAACGAUAAGGUAACUGCUCACACUCAAAA